UAGGGAAUCUUCGGCAAUGGACGAAAGUCUGACCGAGCAACGCCGCGUUAGUGAAGAAGGUUUUCGGAUCGUAAAACUCUGUUGUUAGAGAAGAACAAGGACGUUAGUAACUGAACGUCCCCUGACGGUAUCUAACCAGAAAGCCACGGCUAACUACGUGCCAGCAGCCGCGGUAAUACGUAGGUGGCAAGCGUUGUCCGGAUUUAUUGGGCGUAAAGCGAGCGCAGGCGGUUUCUUAAGUCUGCUGUGAAAGCCCCCGGCUAAACCGGGGAGGGUCAUUGGAAACUGGGAGACUUGAGUGCCGAAGAGGGGAGUGGAAUUCCAUGUGUAGCGGUGAAAUGCGUAGAUAUAUGGAGGAACACCAGUGGCGAAGGCGGAUCUCAGGCCUGUAACUGACGCUGAGGCUCGAAAGCGUGGGGAGCAAACAGG
rnacentral:rRNA from 1 species